AAGGCGAAAGCCGAAAAUUUUCAAGUAAAACAAAAAUGCCAAAUUAUAUAAACAAAGCGAAAAUAAUACACUUGAAUAAUUUUGAACGAAAGGGAAUACGGUUCCAAUUCCGUAACCUGUUGAGUAUCCGUUUGUUAUUAAAUAUGGGCCUCGUGCUCAUCCUGGCAACAGGAACGACCAUAAAGAAGCCGUCGAGAGAUAUCGGAAGAGUUUUCUUUUCUGUUUUAUAGCCGUACUACCAUGGAAGUCUUUCGCAGAGAGAUAUGGUAGAUGGGCUAGAAGAGCAUGACAUAUACUGUUGUGUCGAUAUUUUCUCCUCGGACCUUGAAAAUUUAUGGUGGGGACACGCAAACUUCUCAACAGGCCGUACCAAUAUCCGCAGCUGGUCUCCAAGGUGAAGAGUCUCUAGUCGAUAGAAUAAUGUAGGUAAGGGAAGUCGGCAAAUUAGAUCCGUAACUUCGGGAUAAGGAUUGGCUCUGAAGAUUGAGAUAGUCGGGCUUGAUUGGGAAACAAUAACAUGGUUUAUGUGCUCGUUCUGGGUAAAUAGAGUUUCUAGCAUUUAUGUUAGUUACUUGUUCCCCGGAUAGUUUAGUUACGUAGCCAAUUGUGGAACUUUCUUGCUAAAAUUUUUAAGAAUACUAUUUGGGUUAAACCAAUUAGUUCUUAUUAAUUAUAACGAUUAUCAAUUAACAAUCAAUUCAGAACUGGCACGGACUUGGGGAAUCCGACUGUCUAAUUAAAACAAAGCAUUGUGAUGGCCCUAGCGGGUGUUGACACAAUGUGAUUUCUGCCCAGUGCUCUGAAUGUCAAAGUGAAGAAAUUCAAGUAAGCGCGGGUCAACGGCGGGAGUAACUAUGACUCUCUUAAGGUAGCCAAAUGCCUCGUCAUCUAAUUAGUGACGCGCAUGAAUGGAUUAACGAGAUUCCUACUGUCCCUAUCUACUAUCUAGCGAAACCACAGCCAAGGGAACGGGCUUGGAAUAAUUAGCGGGGAAAGAAGACCCUUUUGAGCUUGACUCUAAUCUGGCAGUGUAAGGAGACAUAAGAGGUGUAGAAUAAGUGGGAGAUAUUAGACCUCGGUUUGGUAUCGUCAAUGAAAUACCACUACUCUUAUUGUUUCCUUACUUACUUGAUUAAAUGGAACGUGUAUCAUUUCCUAGCCAUUAUACGGAUAUAUUUAUUAUAUCUUAUGGUAUUGGGUUUUGAUGCAAGCUUCUUGAUCAAAGUAUCACGAGUUUGUUAUAUAAUCGCAAACAAAUUCUUUAAUAAAACGAUGCAUUUAUGUAUUUUUGAUUUGAAAAUUUGGUAUAACUCCAAUUACUCAGGUAUGAUCCAAUUCAAGGACAUUGCCAGGUAGGGAGUUUGACUGGGGCGGUACAUCUCUCAAAUAAUAACGGAGGUGUCCCAAGGCCAGCUCAGUGCGGACAGAAACCACACAUAGAGCAAAAGGGCAAAUGCUGACUUGAUCUCGGUGUUCAGUACACACAGGGACAGCAAAAGCUCGGCCUAUCGAUCCUUUUGGUUUAAAGAGUUUUUAACAAGAGGUGUCAGAAAAGUUACCAUAGGGAUAACUGGCUUGUGGCGGCCAAGCGUUCAUAGCGACGUCGCUUUUUGAUCCUUCGAUGUCGGCUCUUCCUAUCAUUGUGAAGCAAAAUUCACCAAGCGUUGGAUUGUUCACCCAUGCAAGGGAACGUGAGCUGGGUUUAGACCGUCGUGAGACAGGUUAGUUUUACCCUACUAAUGACAAAACGUUGUUGCGACAGCAUUCCUGCGUAGUACGAGAGGAACCGCAGGUACGGACCAAUGGCACAAUACUUGUUCGAGCGAACAGUGGUAUGACGCUACGUCCGUUGGAUUAUGCCUGAACGCCUCUAAGGUCGUAUCCGUGCUGGACUGCAAUGAUAAAUAAGGGGCAAUUUGCAUUGU
rnacentral:rRNA from 1 species